rnacentral:rRNA from 1 species
GACGUAGGAGACGAGCGUUGUCCGGAUUUACUGGGCGUAAAGCGCGCGCAGGCGGCCCCGCAGGUCGGUUGUGAAAGCCCCCGGCUCAACCGGGCGGAGGCGAGCGAAACCGCGGGGCUGGAGGCUGGCAGAGGGUGGUGGAAUUCCCGGUGUAGUGGUGAAAUGCGUAGAGAUCGGGAGGAACACCCGCGGCGAAGGCGGCCACCUGGACCAGACCUGACGCUGAGGCGCGAAGGCCGGGGGAGCGAACGGGG